ACUCCACUGUUUGGCUGGGAAAGGACCGAGACGCGCUCAGUGCACAGGGGGCCGGCUGCGGCCAUAAAUCUCCGGGCGGGCCCUCCUUCCCGCUGCUCACGCCGGGGUGCUCCGGGCCGGUCUCGUGUCCCGGGCCACGCCGCGCACCCUGCUCACCCCAUCACGGCCUGGGGACCCGGAGACUGCGCAGGGAACCACGCCAGGAGCUUCUCCGUUCACCAAAGAGAGGGAACGGCCUCGUUCCUCGGUGUCAACACCAUCCAUCUCUGAGGGCGCUGGACCCUGAGGUGGCCCGAGCUUCACAGGAUCACCGCCUUGGGGUAGGGGCGCCCGGGCCUGGCAUUUCCUCCUAGGAAGGCUCGGUGAGACUGGGAUGGGCAUGCGGCUCUCCGCUCGAGCCCAACUCCGGUGCCACCUGCACCACGGAGGGGUGACCCCAGGGUCAGGGUCAGAGCGGCUUCUCAGAAUUCAGCUUGCCACCUCUCCGCGGACCCUGCCUUCAUCUCGUGCCUCCUCAGAGCCCUCUGCGGGCGCAUGAAGGGCCUUUUUUUUUUUUUUUUUUUUUUUUUUUGGCACAGGUGGACCAACGGGGGGUGUGACUGUGGGCACCGUGCGCGGAGGCGGAGGCUCAUCUGGUUCCCACCCUCCGUGCCGCUGGAUGCCCCAGGAUUUUCUCCAACCGGGGUCCCGGCUUGGAGCCCUCCUUGGUGCGAGCUUUGGCUCAGCAAUGGGGAAAGCGGGAAUGGGUCUCGCCCUUGUGGCUGCCUGGUGGAAGCGGCGGUUUUGACACACGAAUAGUCGUGGGGAGCAGAUCCAGAGAGGGCGCAUUUGCAAUAAUAACGCUUAGUUUAUCUCUGCCAGAGGGGCGGGAACAGGCCUUCGCGCUGGUGUCUUACAUCAGCCAAGCAAACCAUGGGCGCGAUUGGAGCCAACCACCUCCAGCGGGGUUUUGCUCCAGACUUAAGGUGCACGGAAACCGGAGCAUUCAGCCCUUCAUGGAUGCCUCCCGAAAACCUCACCAUGCCAGUGACACGACUGCAAACGGCGGGUGGCACAUGCCGGGGGCUUGGGAUGGGAGGGUUUGGAAACCUCGCUCCAAGGACGCCCUCAGCCAAGGAGCUUCGGCUCCUUCCUAGAAUUUCUAGAAGCACUUUUGGAGGGACCGAGGGCUUCCGGCCGGGCCCAGAGGAAUUUGAGCGCUUGCCCGGGCAGGCAGAAGCGCAGCCUGGGAGUGGAGAGGCUGCUGGGCCACAUUCCGGCCCAGCUUCCCCCGCUAGGCCCCAGCCCUGCCGCGGCGCCCCAGGAAGCACCUCCGAAAACAAAGCGCUGUGGUUUCAGCCCAAGGUUAAAGUCCACCGCGAGCGUGUUUUUUCCCCCCUCCAGAAUCUAAGAGCGAUAGCGUUUCUCCAAAUAAACCGCCAAUAAAUCAGCUCCCGGGGGCGCCUGCUGAAGA